CGUAACAAGGUUUCCGUAGGUGAACCUGCGGAAGGAUCAUUACCUAGAGUUUGUAGACUUCGGUCUGCUACCUCUUACCCAUGUCUUUUGAGUACCUUCGUUUCCUCGGCGGGUCCGCCCGCCGAUUGGACAACAUUCAAACCCUUUGCAGUUGCAAUCAGCGUCUGAAAAAACAUAAUAGUUACAACUUUCAACAACGGAUCUCUUGGUUCUGGCAUCGAUGAAGAACGCAGCGAAAUGCGAUAAGUAGUGUGAAUUGCAGAAUUCAGUGAAUCAUCGAAUCUUUGAACGCACAUUGCGCCCCUUGGUAUUCCAUGGGGCAUGCCUGUUCGAGCGUCAUUUGUACCUUCAAGCUCUGCUUGGUGUUGGGUGUUUGUCUCGCCUCUGCGUGUAGACUCGCCUUAAAACAAUUGGCAGCCGGCGUAUUGAUUUCGGAGCGCAGUACAUCUCGCGCUUUGCACUCAUAACGACGACGUCCAAAAGUACAUUUUUACACUCUUGACCUCGGAUCAGGUAGGGAUACCCGCUGAACUUAAGC
rnacentral:rRNA from 1 species